rnacentral:rRNA from 1 species
AGGUGAUAAACGUAGUUAUUCGGCCCGAUGGGGAUAACCCUCCCAAAGGAGUAUACGCAUAGACACGCUUCGAGAGGGGAGAGGUCAAGCCGCACUAUACAUUAGCUGGCGCUUGGAGAUGAGCUGCGGCCAUCAGCUAUUUGUAGGGUAAUGCCUACCAAGGCAAAGACGGGUAGCUGGUCUGAGAGGAUGAUCAGCCACACUGAACUGAGACACGGUCCAGACUCCUACGGGAGGCAGCAGUGGGGAAUCUUGCGCAAUGGGCGAAAGCCUGACGCAGCGACGCCGCGUGGGUGAUGAAGGCCUUCGGGUUGUAAAGCCCUGUGGAGGGGGAAGAAUAAGGGCAGCCUAAUACGCUGACCGAUGACGGUACCCCUUUAGCAGCACCGGCUAACUCUGUGCCAGCGGCCGCGGUAAGACAGAGGGUGCAAACGUUGUUCGGAAUUACUGGGCGUAAAGCGCGUGUAGCGGCUUGGCAAGUCGGGUGUGAAAGCCCUGGGCUCAACCUAGGAAGUGCACUCGAAACCGGUUCGCUUGAGUGUCGGAGAGGAAAGCGGAAUUCUCGGUGUAAGGUGAAAUUCGUAAUUUCGAAGGAACACC